UUGGUCCUCCACCCAAGGUCUGCCAAAUUGUAGAGGUUUGUGCAUUGCUGCACAACAUCUGCAAAGCAAGAAACAUCAUUCUUCCUGAGGAAGAAGAACAUCUUGCUGCAGCCGAGGAUGGAGGCAAUGAGGAGCGACCCCCAGCACAGAAAGUUCAAAGUCACCAUGAAGGAAUCCUUUACAGGGAUGAAUUUGUUGUGCUUCACUUAAACAUUGAUGAGUGAUGAGACACCAGUGUCAUGACUGCUGAGAUUGGCGUUAAUCUCAUGUGGAUGAUCUCCUCCUCAUCCACAUAGACCAGUGAUGUACCAGGCAAGUCUGGCCCCUGUUGGUGCCACAUCACUGGUGCUGGAAGUGGUGUGGCAGGUGUCUCCUCCUCAACACCUACUGCCUCGGUCAUCACUUCUCUCUGUUGGGCUGCCUCUGCCACUUCCCCAGCAUCAUCUGCUGCCUGAACACUGCUGGUAUCAUUAGUUCUAACUUCAGAAACUAACCUGAUAAUGUUUUUGGUUUUAUUGCUAAGGACAAAAGUAACAGAAACCAGUAAAUCUAGCUAAGGGUACAAUGUGUUUGACUUAAAUCCUAUUCUGUUUGAAGGAAGCCCAUGUCUAAGAAACUGUAAAUACCUAAGACUCAUUAUCAUUAACACAUUCACCCACUACAACACCAUACUUAUGAAUAGGGAGAAGGGAUAGGAAUUAAGUUAACUUUAUUAGUUUUUUUUCUUUUCUUAUUACUGUUUUAUCUGUUUGGUUAAAGAAUAAAAUAAAAAAAAAAUAAAU